rnacentral:rRNA from 1 species
UAGGGAAUUUUCCACAAUGGGGGCAACCCUGAUGGAGCAAUGCCGCGUGAGAGAAGAAGGCCUUAGGGUUGUAAAUCUCUGUUAUAAGGGAAGAAAGAUAGCUAGAGGAAAUGUUAGUUAGAAGACAAUACCUUAUGAGAAAGCCACGGCUAACUACGUGCCAGCAGCCGCGGUAAUACGUAGGUGGCAAGCGUUAUUCGGAAUUAUUGGGCGUAAAGGGUGCGCAGGCGGUAAUCAAAGAUUGUGGUUAAAGAAUGGGGCUCAACUCCAUAAAGCCAUGAUAACUAGAUAACUAGAGUACAGAAGAGGAAAGCGGAAUUCCAUGUGUAGCGGUGAAAUGCGUAGAUAUAUGGAGGAACACCAGUGGCGAAGGCGGCUUUCUGGUCAUGUACUGACGCUG